rnacentral:pre_miRNA from 1 species
AACUGGUAACAGUAGGAACGCCAGAUAGUUGUGUUUUCUGCUCCUGCUGCUAUCAGUAGU